CAAGAUUCAGGGAAAUAGUCCAGCACAUACGCCACUAUAAAGGUUAAUACAGCAGGAACGGGGGGACUUGAAAAGGGAGACCUCCGCUUGCCUGCUUGAAAGACUUAUUUCUCCCAGCGAGAAAUUUAGAGCGGAAUGUUUUUUUUUUGUUAUUCCUCGCCAUCGCGCUCCACCUUCCUCAUUAAAGACUGUGCUCGUUCUCCCAGGAGACUCCUGCAACAUUACAACUCUUCUCCACAGGUCAAACCUGUACCAUCAUCCACAAUGUCCCAGCCAUGUGCCCCACCCUUUGCAAGAGCCGCCACCAACAACCAAA
ensembl:lncRNA